rnacentral:rRNA from 1 species
GAUGAACGCUGGCGGCGUGCCUAACACAUGCAAGUCGAGCGAUUUACUUCGGUAAAGAGCGGCGGACGGGUGAGUAACGCGUGGGUAACCUGCCCUGUACACACGGAUAACAUACCGAAAGGUAUGCUAAUACGGGAUAAUAUGCUUUAGUCGCAUGGCUGAAGUAUCAAAGCUCCGGCGGUACAGGAUGGACCCGCGUCUGAUUAGCUAGUUGGUAAGGUAACGGCUUACCAAGGCGACGAUCAGUAGCCGACCUGAGAGGGUGAUCGGCCACAUUGGAACUGAGACACGGUCCAAACUCCUACGGGAGGCAGCAGUGGGGAAUAUUGCACAAUGGGCGAAAGCCUGAUGCAGCAACGCCGCGUGAGUGAUGAAGGCCUUCGGGUAGUAAAGCUCUGUCCUCAAGGAAGAUAAUGACGGUACUUGAGGAGGAAGCCCCGGCUAACUACGUGCCAGCCGCCGCAGUAA